AUUGAACGCUGGCGGCAGGCUUAACACAUGCGAGUCGAGCGGAGAUGAGGUGCUUGCACCUUAUCUUAGCGGCGGACGGGUGAGUAAUGCUUAGGAAUCUGCCUAUUAGUGGGGGACAACAUUCCGAAAGGAAUGCUAAUACCGCAUACGUCCUACGGGAGAAAGCAGGGGAUCUUCGGACCUUGCGCUAAUAGAUGAGCCUAAGUCGGAUUAGCUAGUGGGUGGGGUAAGGGCCUACCAAGGCGACGAUCUGUAGCGGGUCUGAGAGGAUGAUCCGCCACACUGGGACUGAGACACGGCCCAGACUCCUACGGGAGGCAGCAGUGGGGAAUAUUGGACAAUGGGGGGAACCCUGAUCCAGCCAUGCCGCGUGUGUGAAGAAGGCCUUAUGGUUGUAAAGCACUUUAAGCGAGGAGGAGGCUACUGAGACUAAUACUCUUGGAUAGUGGACGUUACUCGCAGAAUAAGCACCGGCUAACUCUGUGCCAGCAGCCGCGGUAAAAC
rnacentral:rRNA from 1 species